GAUGAACGCUGGCGGCGUGCCUAAUACAUGCAAGUCGAGCGAACAGACGAGGAGCUUGCUCCUUUGACGUUAGCGGCGGACGGGUGAGUAACACGUGGGUAACCUACCUAUAAGACUGGGAUAACUUCGGGAAACCGGAGCUAAUACCGGAUAAUAUUUCGAACCGCAUGGUUCGAUAGUGAAAGAUGGCUUUGCUAUCACUUAUAGAUGGACCUGCGCCGUAUUAGCUAGUUGGUAAGGUAACGGCUUACCAAGGCAACGAUACGUAGCCGACCUGAGAGGGUGAUCGGCCACACUGGAACUGAGACACGGUCCAGACUCCUACGGGAGGCAGCAGUAGGGAAUCUUCCGCAAUGGGCGAAAGCCUGACGGAGCAACGCCGUGUGAGUGAUGAAGGUCUUCGGAUCGUAAAACUCUGUUAUUAGGGAAGAACAAACGUGUAAGUAACUGUGCACGUCUUGACGGUACCUAAUCAGAAAGCCACGGCUAACUACGUG
rnacentral:rRNA from 1 species